rnacentral:ncRNA from 1 species
UUCGGGUUCUCAACUUAUUUCCAACUUCGAACCUCCUUGUUAGGCAUUUACCUAACUGGAAAUGCUUAAAUGAAUUAGCGUUACAAGUGGGCUCUGACCGGUAAGCGGUCAUGGCGAAAUGGGAUGAACCAUACGUCUGAAUAAGGUGCCGAAAUGUACUAUCACUGAUACCAUAAAGGGAGUCCAUGUAUUUAGACAGCAGGUCGGUGCCCCUAAAAGCAGGUAUCCGCUAAAGAGUGUGUUAAAACUCACCUGCCGAAUACUAGGGCCCCGAAAAUGAAUGGCGCAUAUAGUACUACCGAUCUCAGACAUCAGUUCUAUUGAACUGAGAGUAGGGGGAUGUGGACAUUUUUGUGAAGGUGCAAUGUGAGUUGGACUGGAAGAAUGUCUAUUACAGAUCCUAAUUGAAGUAGCGAUUAUCCAGGCUUGUAUCCUGGGGGCUGAUGAGGAGUAGGGUUUCUGGACAACUUAAACAGAUCCAGAGUUAGUCGAUCCUAAUCUCAAUAAUGGGAGAAAGGGAGUACAGUUGAUAUUCUGUAACUGACAACAGUUCGCGGCAACGCAUACUAUUUUUCUCCGCCAAUCUUAUACCGUUGGUAGGGAUCUCUUUCCUACAUGACAGUACUAAUACCCAGGGAAACUGGUCAUCAGGCGAACUGCGGCGUUCUGCUGGCAAAACAUAGCUUCGGUUAUGUCAAUGGCUAUUGGAUUGGUCCAUGAAGCGAAAAAUAGUUUACUGUGUCACUCGUACCGAUAACCGCAUCAGGUCUUCUAGGUAAGUAGCCUAUGGCCAUUGAGGCAUGAUAGUUCAGGGAAUUCGGCCAAUUAGAGCUGUAACUUCGGGAUAAAGCUUGGCUCUGAUGAAAAUCAGAACCGAUUGUUACGCGGAGAGCCCAACUGUUUAAUAAAAACGUAGUGUCGCGCUGUGGUAGUAUAGCCAG